rnacentral:rRNA from 1 species
UACAGAGGGUGCGAGCGUUGUCCGGAAUCACUGGGCGUAAAGGGCGCGUAGGUGGCGACCCAAGUCAAUGGUGAAAGCUCGCCGCUUAACGGCGAGUCGGCCACUGAUACUGGGUUGCUUGAGCACUGUAGAGGCUAAUGGAAUUCCGGGUGUAGCGGUGGAAUGCGUAGAGAUCCGGAAGAACACCGGUGGCGAAGGCGGUUAGCUGGGCAGUUGCUGACACUGAGGCGCGACAGCGUGGGGAGCAAACAGG